GACGAACGCUGGCGGCGGGCUUAACACAUGCAAGUCGAACGGAAAGGCCCUGCUUUUGUGGUGUGCUCGAGUGGCGAACGGGUGAGUAACACGUGAGUAACCGGCCCUUGACUUUGGUAUAACUUCAGGAAACUGGGGCUAAUACCGGAUAGGAGCUCCUGCUGCAUGGUGGGGGUUGGAAAGUUUCGGCGGUUGGGGAUGGACUCGCGGCUUAUCAGCUUGUUGGUGGGGUAGUGGCUUACCAAGGCUUUGACGGGUAGCCGGCCUGAGAGGGUGACCGGCGACAUUGGGACUGAGAUACGGCGCAGACUCCUACGGGAGGCAGCAGUGGGGAAUAUUGCACAAUGGGCGGAAGCCUGAUGCAGCAACGCCGCGUGCGGGAUGACGGCCUGCGGGUUGUAAACCGCUUUCGCCUGUGACGAAGCGUGAGUGACGGUAAUGGGUAAAGAAGCACCGGCUAACUACGUG
rnacentral:rRNA from 1 species